UUGCAAAGUCAUGUGCAUAUUUGGCAUUUCUAAAAGGUCUGUCUCUUUCAAAUUUAGAUCCUUCAAAAUGAUGUUAUGUAAUUUAUAAUGCAAUUAUUUGUGAAUCUUAUAUGAACACUUCAUGCACCAUAACUACUAGUCUGUUGUGGUUAUGGUGCCAGGAUUGCCCAGGCAUUCUAACCUAUGCAAGUCAUUAAAAACAUGAGGUAAAAUUAUGACUUGUUAUCUGGG